rnacentral:rRNA from 1 species
UUAAGUAUAUGAGGUGAUUAAUUGGAGGGCAAAUCAAGUGCCAGCAGCCGCGGUAAUACUUGUUCCAAGAGUGUGUAUGAUGAUUGAUGCAGUUAAAAAGUCCGUAGUUUAUUUUUUUAAAACAUUAGGGUAGUAUUGGAAAAAAGGACACCA